AGUGAACGCUGGCGGUAGGCCUAACACAUGCAAGUCGAACGGCAGCACAGUAAGAGCUUGCUCUUACGGGUGGCGAGUGGCGGACGGGUGAGGAAUACAUCGGAAUCUACUUUUUCGUGGGGGAUAACGUAGGGAAACUUACGCUAAUACCGCAUACGACCUACGGGUGAAAGCAGGGGAUCUUCGGACCUUGCGCGAUUGAAUGAGCCGGUGUCGGAUUAGCUAGUUGGCGGGGUAAAGGCCCACCAAGGCGACGAUCCGUAGCUGGUCUGAGAGGAUGGUCGGCCGAACUGGAACUGAACCGCGGUCCAGACUCCUACGGGAGGCCGCAGCGGGGAAUAUUGGACAAUGGGCGCAAGCCUGGUCCAGCCAUACCGCGUGGGUGAAGAAGGCCUUCGGGUUGUAAAGCCCUUUUGUUGGGAAAGAAAAGCAGCAGGUUAAUACCCCGCUGUUCUGACGGUACCCAAAGAAUAAGCACCGGCUAACUUCGUG
rnacentral:rRNA from 1 species